AGUGAACGCUGGCGGUAGGCCUAACACAUGCAAGUCGAACGGCAGCACAGUAAGAGCUUGCUCUUACGGGUGGCGAGUGGCGGACGGGUGAGGCAUACAUCGGAAUCUACUUUUUCGUGGGGGAUAACGUAGGGAAACUUACGCUAAUACCGCAUACGACCUACGGGUGAAAGCAGGGGAUCUUCGGACCUUGCGCGAUUGAUUGAGCCGAUGUCGGAUUAGCUAGUUGGCGGGGUAAAGGCCCACCAAGGCGACGAUCCGUAGCUGGUCUGAGAGGAUGAUCAGCCACACUGGAACUGAGACACGGUCCAGACUCCUACGGGAGGCAGCAGUGGGGAAUAUUGGGCAAUGGGCGCAAGCCUGAUCCAGCCAUACCGCGUGGGUGAUGAAGGCCUUCGGGUUGUAAAGCCCUUUUAUUGGGAAAGAAAAGCAGCGUGUUAAAACCCCGCUGUUCUGACGGUACCCAAAGAAUAAGCACCGGCUAACUUCGUG
rnacentral:rRNA from 1 species